GAUGAACGCUGGCGGCGUGCCUAAUACAUGCAAGUCGAGCGAACGGACGAGAAGCUUGCUUUUCUGAUGUUAGCGGCGGACGGGUGAGUAACACGUGGAUAACCUACCUAUAAGACUGGGAUAACUUCGGGAAACCGGAGCUAAUACCGGAUGAUAUUUUGAACCGCAUGGUUCAAAAGUGAAAGACGGUCUUGCUGUCACUUAUAGAUGGAUCCGCGCUGCAUUAGCUAGUUGGUAAGGUAACGGCUUACCAAGGCAACGAUGCAUAGCCGACCUGAGUGGGUGAUCGGCCACACUGGAACUGAGACACGGUCCAGACUCCUACGGGAGGCAGCAGUAGGGAAUCUUCCGCAAUGGGCGAAAGCCUGACGGAGCAACGCCGCGUGAGUGAUGAAGGUCUUCGGAUCGUAAAACUCUGUUAUUAGGGAAGAACAUAUGUGUAAGUAACUGUGCACAUCUUGACGGUACCUAAUCAGAAAGCCACGGCUAACUACGUGCCAGCAGCCGCGGUAAUACGUAGGUGGCAAGCGUUAUCCGGAAUUAUUGGGCGUAAAGCGCGCGUAGGCGGUUUUUUAAGUCUGAUGUGAAAGCCCACGGCUCAACCGUGGAGGGUCAUUGGAAACUGGAAAACUUGAGUGCAGAAGAGGAAAGUGGAAUUCCAUGUGUAGCGGUGAAAUGCGCAGAGAUAUGGAGGAACACCAGUGGCGAAGGCGACUUUCUGGUCUGUAACUGACGCUGAUGUGCGAAAGCGUGGGGAUCAAACAGGAUUAGAUACCCUGGUAGUCCACGCCGUAAACGAUGAGUGCUAAGUGUUAGGGGGUUUCCGCCCCUUAGUGCUGCAGCUAACGCAUUAAGCACUCCGCCUGGGGAGUACGACCGCAAGGUUGAAACUCAAAGGAAUUGACGGGGACCCGCACAAGCGGUGGAGCAUGUGGUUUAAUUCGAAGCAACGCGAAGAACCUUACCAAAUCUUGACAUCCUUUGACAACUCUAGAGAUAGAGCCUUCCCCUUCGGGGGACAAAGUGACAGGUGGUGCAUGGUUGUCGUCAGCUCGUGUCGUGAGAUGUUGGGUUAAGUCCCGCAACGAGCGCAACCCUUAAGCUUAGUUGCCAUCAUUAAGUUGGGCACUCUAAGUUGACUGCCGGUGACAAACCGGAGGAAGGUGGGGAUGACGUCAAAUCAUCAUGCCCCUUAUGAUUUGGGCUACACACGUGCUACAAUGGACAAUACAAAGGGCAGCGAAACCGCGAGGUCAAGCAAAUCCCAUAAAGUUGUUCUCAGUUCGGAUUGUAGUCUGCAACUCGACUACAUGAAGCUGGAAUCGCUAGUAAUCGUAGAUCAGCAUGCUACGGUGAAUACGUUCCCGGGUCU
rnacentral:rRNA from 1 species